rnacentral:rRNA from 1 species
AUUGAACGCUGGCGGCAUGCCUUACACAUGCAAGUCGAGCGGCAGCGCGGGGGCAACCCUGGCGGCGAGCGGCGAACGGGUGAGUAAUACAUCGGAACGUGUCCAGUAGCGGGGGAUAACCUGUCGAAAGAUAGGCUAAUACCGCAUACGACCUACGGGUGAAAGCGGGGGACCGCAAGGCCUCGCACUCUUGGAGCGGCCGAUGUCGGAUUAGCUAGUUGGCGGGGUAACGGCCCACCAAGGCGACGAUCCGUAGCUGGUCUGAGAGGACGACCAGCCACACUGGAACUGAGACACGGUCCAGACUCCUACGGGAGGCAGCAGUGGGGAAUUUUGGACAAUGGGCGCAAGCCUGAUCCAGCCAUGCCGCGUGAGUGAAGAAGGCCUUCGGGUUGUAAAGCACUUUUGUCCGGAAAGAAAUCGCGCUGGUUAAUACCUGGCGUGGAUGACGGUACCGGAAGAAUAAGCACCGGCUAACUACGUGCCAGCAGCCGCCGUAA